GUUGUGACAAGUCUGGAACAAGUUGUUAUCACCUUGUUACAAGGUUGAUGACGGUAACAGACUUGCUACAAGUUGUUCCAACAAGACUAAUACAGGCUGUUCGUAACAAGUUGCUACGAGCUUGUUGUCGUCAACUUGUUAACAACUUGUUACGUGCAGACGAUAUCAGACUUGUUGGAACAACUUGUUGCGAGUCUGUUGGCCUCAUCAACCUUGUUACAAGAUGAUAACAACUUGUUCCAGACUUGUCAACAACUGGGAACAAGC
rnacentral:lncRNA from 1 species